rnacentral:misc_RNA from 1 species
UUUCCGUAGGUGAACCUGAGGAAGGAUCAUUAAUGAGUUGUCAUGGGGUUCGAUGCUGGCAGCCAGUUUUUGGAUGCAUGUGCUUGCCCUAACAAUCAUCUUCUUCCAAACACCUGUGCACAUUUUUGAGGGAGUCUUGAGUUGGUUGCCGCUCUUGGGUGAUUUUCUCACAUUCCCUUAAAUCAUUAUACGCUAUUAACAAUGUUGAACGUGCUCUGUGCCGCAAGGCCAUUAAUAUAAUACAACUUUUAACAACGGAUCUCUUGGCUCUC